rnacentral:antisense_RNA from 1 species
GGUGUUUGAAGCAAAAGUUUGCUGCGCUCCUCAAUGUCGCCACCAAUAUGGUAUGGCAAUCCGCAGUUAGCGAAAGAGACGAAGGGGCCACGUUCGAACAUGAUGAUUUCGGCAUCUUCGCUAAGGCGGCGAGCGCGUGCAGCGGCGGAAGCGCCACCAGCAACACCAC